UGAGGAAUAUUGCACAAUGGGCGCAAGCCUGAUGCAGCGACGCCGCGUGUGGGAUGAAGGGGCUAUGCCUCGUAAACCACUGUAGCCCGGGACGAAAAACAUCUUAGAGGUGUUAGACGGUACCGGGAAAGUAAGGGUCGGCUAACUACGUGCCAGCAGCCGCGGUAAUACGUAGGACCCAAGCGUUGUCCGGAUUUACUGGGUGUAAAGGGUGCGCAGGCGGAUGGGUAAGUCAGAGGUGAAAGUCUGCAGCUUAACUGUAGAAUUGCCUUUGAUACUGCUCGUCUUGAGUGUGGGAGAGGUUGAUGGAAUUCCAGGUGUAGCAGUGAAAUGCGUAGAUAUCUGGAAGAACACCAGUGGCGAAGGCGGUCAACUGGCCCAUUACUGACGCUCAUGCACG
rnacentral:rRNA from 1 species